rnacentral:lncRNA from 1 species
GAUAAACAAAAAAUAAAAUUAAAACAAAAUUACAUGAUUUUUCCUAUAAAUUUCAGAAAUCAGAUGUGAUUUUUCCACUUCUAUUGAAUAUAUAUGUUUUCAAAAACUGAGAAAAACAUUAUGUAUAUUUUUCAACAACAAAUAAAUAUAACAAAAAAAAUCUAAAAUUACAGUAGUAUGGGGAAAUAGAUCCAAAAGUUAAGCAUGACUUUUGCAAACCUCCGACGGAAAAAGACUUUACAAAGAUACAAAAAAUUAUGAGAUACAAACUCUGAUUAUUUGUUGUUGUUGCUGUUGUUGCAUGUGUGAGAGAAGUGGUGGAAGAAGACAACACAAAACAAAAGCAGGGUUUUCCGGCGUCGGCACAGUGGCUGUUUGUUCCGGCACGGUGGCCACUGACAAAGGUGGUCGAUCUUGAAUUUUGUUUUGUGGGUUUUGUAAAGGAGGCCAAGGAGAUUCUUUAUAUGGUGAUGAUGUUUCAAAAGAUUGUCUAUGGAGGUAAAAAUCAAGCUGAGAAAGUGGCAAUUGAAAUUUUUAAAAAGAGAUGUGAAACAAUGGAACCAUAUUGUAGGUUGAUCUUUAGAAAAAGAUGAGAUGGUUGAUGAAGGAGAGGAGAUGAUGAAAUAUUGAAGAAGGAUGCCGUUAGAAAAAAGAAAGAAAGAAAAAAAGGAGCGGCGGCUGUUGAAAUGAGACAAAGAGGAU